rnacentral:lncRNA from 1 species
CAAACAAUUACAACCAUCCAUCAGGUCAAGGAAUCAAACAUUUGUUGUAUUUGUUUUCACAGUUGCUGGCCAUUUCUGUCAACUGAUAAUAGUUUUGCAUUUACUGUAGUCAUAUACAAUUUUCUUUCAAAUGAAUCUUAUUUGGUAAAACCAUGGAGCAAUCUGAAGAAAAAUAUUAUAAUAGAAUGCAGAUAUGUGAAGUUUGAGAAAUCUAGAGCAUGCAGGAUGUAUUAUUGGGGAAGCGAAGUGACUGCAAGGUCAGUAGAUGACAGCCGCACAUGUCUGAUGAUAAAGCUGUGUCAUGGGCUCCAGAUGAACAGAGGAGAGAAGAAGGGCACACAAUGUCCUGGCAGUGGUAGGUAGGAGCGAAAAAUCUUAACUCAGAGGUUCAGGAAUUACAAGAAAAGAUCACUUGAGAAGACUUCAGGAAAGUAGGGUACUUGAGAUGUAGCCAAGUUGCAGUUGGAGCAAGAAGACACUGAGGAUGAAGAGGAAUUUGCUGAUAAUUGGCCAUGCAUUUCACAGGGAACAGUUGAAGGGCUUAGGGGUUUGGGAAAAUAUAUAAAUGAGUACACAUUAGAGAACACACACAUAGAGUGUGAGGAUGAAAAGUGGGGUCAGAUGGGUAACCUAGAAGUUGAUUAUAUUAGAAAGUAUUGGAACACUGGACAAUGAUUAGCUUGUAGCUCAGGUGAUGUGGCGGUUUUGGGGUGGGUGAGAGCCUUCCCCAUGAAGCAGGUUUCCUAGGCAGACCAUCUGGCUUGCUGACCCUGAGAGGAUUUAAUUAAAAAUGAUGUGAGGGCCUCUGUGUGGUCUAUUCUGUGUUUCAAAACCAUUCUGCCUAGGGCAGUUUACAUAGGUCCUUGUUAGAAAAUGAGGGGAGAAAAACACUGGAUUCUUUUUGCUCUUAUGCAUAUUAGAUUUAUACACAUUAAUGCUUCUUAGGCUCCUUGGCUUCACCUCUUGAUCAAAAGAAUGGCAUCUAUAUAAAGCAAAACUAGAGGCUGGGUGUGGUGGCUCACAGCUGUAAUCACAGCACUUUGGGAGGCUGAGGCAGGUGGAUCACCUGGGGUCAGGAAUUCGAGACCAGCCUGGCCAAUAUGGUGAAACCCCAUCUCUACUAAAAAUACAAAACAUUAGCAGGACGUGGUGGUGUGUACCUGUAAUCACAGCUACUCUGGAGGCUGAAGUAGGAGAGUCCCUUGAACCUGGGAGGCCAAGGUUGCAGUGAGCCAAGAUUGCACCAUUGCACUGCAGCCUGGGAGACAGAAUGAGACUCAUUCUCAACACACAGACACACAGACGCACGUGCGCGCGCGCAUACACACACACACAAAUAAAUAAAUAAAUCAACUGUACUGAACUCCCUAUGACUUGGCUUAUAAGAAGUUGUUUUCCCCAUCCUGUUCCCCAGAUGCUCCUUUUAUAGGCUUGGAGUGUAGAGCUUUUCCCAUGUGAACAAUCUCUCUGUUUGUGGUCUGCUGUCAGGCACUCUGCAGCUCAUGGUGGCUGACCUUGCUGCUCCUUGUGCCACUACUGACCUCUUCCAGACCCACUGACCCCUGGUGUUCUCUUUCUGACCAACCACACAGCCCCUUCUGCUUCUGUCUACAUAGAACCACAGGGUCCUAAGAGACGUUAUAGAUGUAUAGACUGCAGUACGAGCUAUGAAUUCCACUAUAUUCAGGCCGGCUGCUUAUUUCAAUCCACACUACUCGCCUUCUUGUUGGUGAUAUUCUUCGAAGAGCCUAUGAUCACAUUUUUAUCUUGCCUGAUACCCAAUUGGGAACUGUGUUCUCAUUCUCUUCCAUGAGCUUCUAGGCCUUGUGCUAAUAAAUGCAUGUGGCUAGCUAUCUGUUUUAGAGUUCCUUAAUAAUCAAUCAACCAACUACUGAAUAGUCCAUGACAGUUGACAGACUGUUUAGUUUAAAUAGUGGUUCUCAAAUCUUGACCUGUAUCAGAAUCAUCUGGAGAACCAUUAAGUCACAAGUUGCUGAGUCCUAUCCCUAGUAUUUCUUAUUCUGGGAUGGAGACAGCCUGCCUGACAAGGUUUUAGGUGAUACUAAUGCUGCUGGCCUUGGAAUCACACUUUGAGAACUUUUGGACUGGAACAUUCUGAAAGUUUCUACAAAAUUAUAUUGCUUAAUGCCAAAUGUCAGCCCAGUAGAUUUCUAUCUAUGAUUCAGCCAAAAUAUUCAUACAUAAUUUAAAUAAAAAUUGAAUCUAUUUUCUUAACUGUAAUGUUCUUGAGAGUAGUCACAAUUUCUUUUGUCAUCUAUGUAUACUCUAGAGUAGAAGUCAGAAUGAAAAGAGCACAGAUGCCAAGAUGAGGG